rnacentral:tRNA from 1 species
GCAGAAAUAGCCUAGUUGGGAGAGUGUUAUACUAUAGAUCAAAAGUCUCUGGUUCGAUCCCAGAUUUCGGCA